rnacentral:rRNA from 1 species
GACAGAGGCCCCAAGCGUUAGGCGGAAUCACUGGGCUUAAAGCGUGUGUAGGCGGACGCCUAAGUGUCUUGUGAAAUCCCACGGCUCACCCGUGGAACUGCUGGGCAUACUGGGCGUCUUGGGCCAACUAGGGGCAGCCGGAACAAGCGGUGGAGCGGUGAAAUGCGUAGAUAUCGCUUGGAACGCCGAAGGUGAAAACAGGCUGCUGGGGUUGCGGCCGACGCUGAGACACGAAAGCCCAGGGGAGCAAACGGG